GAGUUUGAUCAUGGCUCAGAUUGAACGCUGGCGGCAGGCCUAACACAUGCAAGUCGAACGGUAACAGGAAACAGCUUGCUGUUUCGCUGACGAGUGGCGGACGGGUGAGUAAUGUCUGGGAAACUGCCUGAUGGAGGGGGAUAACUACUGGAAACGGUAGCUAAUACCGCAUAACGUCGCAAGACCAAAGAGGGGGACCUUCGGGCCUCUUGCCAUCAGAUGUGCCCAGAUGGGAUUAGCUAGUAGGUGGGAUAACGGCUCACCUAGGCGACGAUCCCUAGCUGGUCUGAGAGGAUGACCAGCCACACCGGAACUGAGACACGGUCCAGACUCCUACGGGAGGCAGCAGUGGGGAAUAUUGCACAAUGGGCGCAAGCCUGAUGCAGCCAUGCCGCGUGUAUGAAGAAGGCCUUCGGGUUGUAAAGUACUUUCAGCGGGGAGGAAGGGAGUAAAGUUAAUACCUUUGCUCAUUGACGUUACCCGCAGAAGAAGCACCGGCUAACUCCGUGCCAGCAGCCGCGGUAAUACGGAGGGUGCAAGCGUUAAUCGGAAUUACUGGGCGUAAAGCGCACGCAGGCGGUUUGUUAAGUCAGAUGUGAAAUCCCCGGGCUCAACCUGGGAACUGCAUCUGAUACUGGCAAGCUUGAGUCUCGUAGAGGGGGGUAGAAUUCCAGGUGUAGCGGUGAAAUGCGUAGAGAUCUGGAGGAAUACCGGUGGCGAAGGCGGCCCCCUGGACGAAGACUGACGCUCAGGUGCGAAAGCGUGGGGAGCAAACAGGAUUAGAUACCCUGGUAGUCCACGCCGUAAACGAUGUCGACUUGGAGGUUGUGCCCUUGAGGCGUGGCUUCCGGAGCUAACGCGUUAAGUCGACCGCCUGGGGAGUACGGCCGCAAGGUUAAAACUCAAAUGAAUUGACGGGGGCCCGCACAAGCGGUGGAGCAUGUGGUUUAAUUCGAUGCAACGCGAAGAACCUUACCUGGUCUUGACAUCCACGGAAGUUUUCAGAGAUGAGAAUGUGCCUUCGGGAACCGUGAGACAGGUGCUGCAUGGCUGUCGUCAGCUCGUGUUGUGAAAUGUUGGGUUAAGUCCCGCAACGAGCGCAACCCUUAUCCUUUGUUGCCAGCGGUCCGGCCGGGAACUCAAAGGAGACUGCCAGUGAUAAACUGGAGGAAGGUGGGGAUGACGUCAAGUCAUCAUGCCCCUUACGACCAGGGCUACACACGUGCUACAAUGGCGCAUACAAAGAGAAGCGACCUCGCGAGAGCAAGCGGACCUCAUAAAGUGCGUCGUAGUCCGGAUUGGAGUCUGCAACUCGACUCCAUGAAGUCGGAAUCGCUAGUAAUCGUGGAUCAGAAUGCCACGGUGAAUACGUUCCCGGGCCUUGUACACACCGCCCGUCACACCAUGGGAGUGGGUUGCAAAAGAAGUAGAUAGCUUAACCUUCGGGAGGGCGCUUACCACUUUGUGAUUCAUGACUGGGGUGAAGUCGUAACAAGGUAACCGUAGGGGAACCUGCGGUUG
rnacentral:rRNA from 1 species